GAAGGGAUGUAUUUAUUAGAUUAAAAACCCAAUGCCCUCCGGGGCUCACUGGUGAUUCAUAAUAACUUCUCGANUCGCAUGGCCUUGUGCCGGCGAUGGUUCAUUCAAAUUUCUGCCCUAUCAACUUUCGACGGCUGGGUCUUGNCCAGCCGUNNNUACAACGGGUAACGGAGGGUUAGGGCUUGACCCCGGAGAAGGAGCNUGAGAGACGGCUACUACAUCCAAGGAAGGCAGCAGGCGCGCAAAUUACCCAAUCCCGACUCGGGGAGGUAGUGACAAUAAAUACUGAUACAGGGCUCUUUUGGGUCUUGUAAUUGGAAUGAGUACAAUUUAAAUCCCUUAACGAGGAACAAUUGGAGGGCAAGUCUGGUGCCAGCAGCCGCGGUAAUUCCAGCUCCAAUAGCGUAUAUUAAAGUUGUUGCAGUUAAAAAGCUCGUAGUUGAACCUUGGGCCUGGCUGGCCGGUCUGCCUCACCGCAUGCACUGGUCCGGCCGGGCCUUUCCCUCUGGGGAGCCGCAUGCCCUUCACUGGGUGUGUCGGGGAACCAGGACUUUUACUGUGAAAAAAUUAGAGUGUUCAAAGCAGGCAUAUGCUCGAAUACAUUAGCAUGGAAUAAUAGAAUAGGACGUCGCGGUUCUAUUUUGUUGGUUUCUAGGACCGCCGUAAUGAUUAAUAGGGACAGUCGGGGGCAUCAGUAUUCAAUCGUCAGAGGUGAAAUUCUUGGAUCGAUUGAAGACUAACUACUGCGAAAGCAUUUGCCAAGGAUGUUUUCAUUAAUCAGGAACGAAAGUUAGGGGAUCGAAAACGAUCAGAUACCGUUGUAGUCUUAACCAUAAACUAUGCCGACUAGGGAUCGGGCGGUGUUAU
rnacentral:rRNA from 1 species